UGGAUUCUGGCGCUGCUGCUGGGGGCUGCCUGGAACCAGUGCCAUGUGUCCGCUCCUGCAGGACCAGACCCAAGCAUACGGACCCCACCGGACUGGGAAUCGUUUGCUCCGAGUUCAGAGGACAGCUCCGUCCUUGCCCAGUGUGAUUUUGAGGAUGACACCAAGCCCCUCUGUGACUGGUCCCAAGUGUCGGCAGAUGAUG